UACGGAGGGGGCUAGCGUUGUUCGGAAUUACUGGGCGUAAAGCGUGCGUAGGCGGUUCGUUAAGUCCGUUGUGAAAGCCCUGGGCUCAACCUGGGAAUGGCAGUGGAUACUGGCGAGCUAGAGUGUGAUAGAGGAUGGUGGAAUUCCCGGUGUAGCGGUGAAAUGCGUAGAGAUCGGGAGGAACACCAGUGGCGAAGGCGGGUCUCUGGGCCGAUACUGACGCUGAGGAGCGAAAGCGUGGGGAGCGAACAGG
rnacentral:rRNA from 1 species